rnacentral:rRNA from 1 species
AGAGUUUGAUCCUGGCUCAGAAUCAACGCUGGCGGCGUGCCUCAGACAUGCAAGUCGAACGCGAAAGUUUCCUUCGGGAGACGAGUAGAGUGGCGCACGGGUGAGUAACACGUAGGUUAUCUACCUCCGAGUGGGGAAUAACAUCGGGAAACCGAUGCUAAUACCGCAUAAUACCGAAAGGUCAAAGCUUUAUGUGCUUGGAGAGGAGUCUGCGGCAGAUUAGCUAGUUGGUAGGUAAUGGCUUACCAAGGCGACGAUCUGUAUCCGGUCUAAGAGGACGGUCGGACACACUGACACUGAAUAACGGGUCAGACUCCUACGGGAGGCAGCAGUCGGGAAUUUUGGGCAAUGGGCGAAAGCCUGACCCAGCAACGCCGCGUGAAGGAUGAAGUCUUUCGGGAUGCAAACUUCGAAAGAAUAGGAAGAAUAAAUGACGGUACUAUUUUUAAGCCCCGGCUAACUCCGUGCCAGCAGCCGCGGUAAUACGGGGGGGGCAAGCGUUGUUCGGAUUUACUGGGCGUAAAGCGUAUGUAGGCGGUUAGGUAAGUCACUUGUGAAAUCUCCAAGCUAAACUUGGAACGGUCAAGUAGUACUGCCUCACUAAAGUGCAGAAUGGGGCAAUGGGAAUUCUUGGUGUAGCGGUGAAAUGCGUACAUAUCCAGAGGAGCACCCGAGGCGAAGGCAAAUUGCUGGGCUGACCCUGACCCCGAGAUACUAAAGCUAGGGACNAACAGG